rnacentral:rRNA from 1 species
GACGAACGCUGGCGGCGUGCUUAACACAUGCAAGUCGAACGGAAAGGCCCCCAUCUUGGUGGGGGUGCUCGAGUGGCGAACGGGUGAGUAACACGUGGGUGAUCUGCCCUGUACUUCGGGAUAAGCUUGGGAAACUGGGUCUAAUACCGGAUAGGACCAUGGUUUAGUGUCUCAUGGUGGAAAGAUUAUUGUUUUGGUGCAGGAUGAGCUCGCGGCCUAUCAGCUUGUUGGUGGGGUAAUGGCCUACCAAGGCGUCGACGGGUAGCCGGCCUGAGAGGGUGGACGGCCACAUUGGGACUGAGAUACGGCCCAGACUCCUACGGGAGGCAGCAGUGGGGAAUAUUGCACAAGGGGCGCAAGCCUGAUGCAGCGACGCCGCGUGGGGGAUGACGGCCUUCGGGUUGUAAACUCCUUUCGUUAGGGACGAAGCCGCACUUUUUUUGGGUGUGGUGACGGUACCUUUGUUAAGAAGCACCGGCUAACUACGUG